rnacentral:sRNA from 1 species
GCUGCGCACUUCGGUCUUUUACGUCGGCCUUCGCGAGCGUCUGGGCGGGUGGUAGGUGAGUGGGUAUUGCGGGCUAGUAUCCGAGCAAAAGAUGGUGGCGCAGGCCGAGUUAAGAGCUUUAAUCCUGUGAAGACAUCUUAGUGAAGAGUUUAGAGUGCUGAGAGUUGAAAGCUUGCACGUGGGAAACGUGCGGCCGGACUGCCACAUGUACUGAGGUUGAGUCGUGACGGCCACAGGCUCCGAAUUUUGGCGUGAGGAACCGCUGAUCGGCCACGGGCGCCGAACUUGCUGGCCUCCGGCAUGUGCCUGAGCGGCGGCGGAAAAACCACCUUAAUUGGGGCGGAGGGUUAGUUUUAAGAGCAAAGGGCCUUUACUAAAAUGGCGAAGGCCUUCCGUCGGCGUUGUUUUAAAAUGGGAAGCCUCGACCCUGUAUUGAAACUGAGCUGUUCGAAGGCGGCGUUGUGUGCAAUUCGGAUUAAUGAAGGGGAAGGGUUUUGUGUGGAAAAACGCCUUGGAGUGUGACAUUUCUGCGAGAAUGCUUAAAUACCGAUUUCCCGCAGGAACAAUGGCGCUGUCUUAAGUGGCACAGUGGAGCAGCUCUGAAGAUGCAAAGAUACACGAAAAAACUUCCAGAACAUCUGGGAGAAUAUUUAAUGGAAAAUCGCUUGGUUAAAACCUGACACUUUUAACAGUGAGGGUCGCUGUCUGCCCAUUGAUAGAGGCCAGAUUGUCUUGGAAGUUCCAAAGUUGCAACGAUUUCUUUAGUUGAAUCCAUGGACAUGAAACCCACAGAUAUAGAGGGUUGGCCCGGUGCAGUGGCUCACGCCUGUAAUCCCAGCACUUUGGGAGGCCAAGGCGGGUGGAUCACCUGAGGUCAGAAGCUUGAGACCAGCCUGGCCAACAUGGGUACUGCUUUCUCUUGCUGCAGCUUGCUUCCUCCCUCAGGUAUGAAGUUAAGCUACUCGGGAGGCUGAGGCAGGAGAAUCGCUUGAACCCGGGAGGCGGAGGUUGCCAUGAGCCGAGAUUGCGCCACUACACUCCAGCCUGGGCAACAAAAGCGAAACUCCAUCUCAAAAAAAAAAAAAAAGGCAUAUAAAAUUAUAGCUGGGUAGGAGGAAUAAGUUCUAGUGUUCUACACCACUGUGGGAUGACUAUAGUUAACAAUAAUACAUACUUUCAGGUAACAUGAAGGAGGAUAUUGAAUGUUCCUAACACAAAGAAAUGAUAAAUGUUUGAGAUGGUGGAUGUACUAAUUGCCCUGAUCUGAUGACUAUACAUUAUAUAUAUUGAAACAUCAGUAUGUACCCCAUGAAUAUGUACAAUUAUAUGUCAACUUAAACACAUUUAAAAGUAAAAAAAAAAAAA